CAAAAUGAAGCAGCUGGUUUUAGUCGUGUAUGUUUUUUCCCUCCUAAUGUUACGUCUGAGCUUACAAUGGCAUUACAGUAACUUCAUCUUCUUUACUUGAAGUAGAAAGGGAAGAAAAGAGGUAAAAGGAUUGGAGAAGCGUAAAAAUCACUCACAGGGAGUAGCUGUGAAGUGUGGAGAGAGCGGAAGAUUGCCUCGAGAGUAACUGCAGUUAUUUCAAAAGCGCAGUAGGGAGGCGAGAGAAGAGAGACUAACGAGAUCGCGCCCCUGCCCUUCCAAUCUCCUCCAAGUUCUUCCUUUUCUCCCCUCUCGACCUCUUCCGAUCGCGAAAUCCUUGGAAAGUGGGGAUUUUUUUCGUUGCCAUACGGUUCGCUGCUCCGUUACCGGAUCGAUUGCUGAAUGCCGCUCGUUUGCGCCUCGAGUUCGCGCCGGGGGAGGCUGCGGUAGGACAAAGGCGCCAGCCUUCGUGCCUGUCGGUCGAUGGCGGACAAGCCCUAGGCGGAGGGUUGGCGUCGGGAAGGCAUCAGAUGCGGACAAAGGUGCGGAGGAUGGUAGUAUUGCUGAUGAAAGCCACUACUGUGUGUGAGCGAAUCAUCGAUGUGGUGGUGCUUUAGGCUGUGGAAGUAAGGCAGCCUUUUGACUAGGAUACUGAAAGAUGCCACCUUCACCCUCGUUGAGGCGCUCUCCCGGGAUAGAACUGAGAAAGGGGAGUUCCCAUACAAGGGGCCAGAGUUUUGAAAGUGGAUUGCUGCUCAAGGCCAAAGAUGACGAUCUUGUUUUGUUCCAUGAGAUGCAGAAGCAUGAGACAGACAACUUCUUGCUACAUAUGUCUGACGAUUUUGAUGACUCCAUAACAAAAUUUGGUUACACUUCAGACCUCAAGCUCGGCAUAACUAUUCCAGCUGAAGGAGAGGGCAGUGGUCUACUGGACAUAGAUGGUGACAAAAAUGACUAUGAUUGGCUCUUAACACCUCCGGAUACUCCCCUCUUUCCAUCACUGGAUGAUGAGUCUCAACCACUUAACACUUCUAGGGGAAGGAUACGAAGUCAGCCAAUUUUGAUUUCAAGACCUUAUACGAAUGAGAAGACUCAGAGGACAAGUAGAAGUAGUGCAAGCCCCAAAAGGUUAAGCCUGUCUCCUCAAUCAAGCUAUGGUGUAGUCCAACCAUCUGCCAGACCAUCUUCACCUCCUCACUACACCUCUCCUGUUAUACGACAAACAACCCCCUCACAAAGAUCUUCCACUCCAACCAAGCCUUCAACACUGACUCCCAGGUCUUCAACUCCCACACUACAGAGGAUGAGUAGUGGUCUAAGUGGACAGACAUCCACUUCUGGUAGAAGGGGAACAUCCCCGGUAAAUAUGAACCGGGGUCAUUCUGCAUCACCAAAAUUAAGAGGCUGGCAAUCUAACAGUUUCCCCAUUAUUGAUGCACCACGAAAUUACCACACUUCUCUGCCAGACCGGUUAUCUUCACGUGUUCGGGGUUCAUCUCCAGCUUCUGGAAAUUCAAUGGUUUCAUCUUCAAAAGUUGGAAGGCGAUCAAUGUCACCAUCAGCAUCUACAAAGGCCCGCUCGUCACACAAUCAUGAAAGUCACCAGUUUACCUCUUGCAAUAAGGCCUCUUUAGCAUCUUCUGGUGAUGAUGGUGUGGAUUCAGUGCUCUCUGUUGGACUAUCUAGUAACGCUGCAGUUAGAAAAUAUGGUGCUUCUGCAAACAGUAAGGCUAUCGCAUCUUACAGGAAACCUUCCAGUUUUCCCUCUUCAGGUUCUGGCCCAAGAAGGUCUUUGGAUUCUGCAGUAAGACAGAUAGAUCACCAGAAAAUCCCCCAGAACAUGUUCAGGCCACUCUUGUCAAGUGUCCCUGCCACUACAUUUUAUGUUGGUAAAACAACACAUGGGACUGCGUUCUCUAGGAGUUUGUCACAAUUUACUAAUCAUAAUGCAAGCACCAUAAAUGAUUUGAACUAUGCUGCUGAUGUGGAGGAUAGUGAUCAUGCCCAAAGUGAUCUGGCUGGUGAAUCAGAAAAGAUAAAAGAUUCUAAAACCCAAGAAGUGUCUAUGAGUAACUUUGAUGAGAUAAGUGAAGAUAACUGUUAUCAUGCUCUUUCUGGAAAACUUCGGGGUGGCACCAAAGGUUUUGAUCAAGGCAUGAACAAAGAAGAUGAUGUUCAGGAACUAGAAAGUUCUGCUGGUGAAACUGCACUUCAAUCUUCAGAUAUUGCUCGAUGUUCUGGGAUCGGAUCAUAUGUUGCUUGCUUAAUAUGUGGAAAACAUUUCCUUAUCAUAGAUGUGGAUGGAUACAAGGAUAUUUGCCAAGAAUGUGCUGCAACAGAUAAGCUAUUGGAUUCCAGAGGACAACGGGGCGAUCCAGAUAAAGCUACUGAUGUAACUGGAAAUGAUUCACUGGAUUCACCAGAUAGCAAAGUGCAUCUCCAAAUGGGAAUGGCUGAACGUCCUGAUAAGAAUCAGAGUGAAUUUUUACUUGGUAAACAUCAAUGCAAUUGUAAACAGGAUGUUAAUCUUUUCCCAGACAAUUGUCCACCUCAGAUAGCGAUAGACGUUGGGCUUGAACACCUUCCGGAACAGGUAAUGAAUAGCUUGAUAAAUAUAGGAAAUCAACCACUUCGUGAACAAUUAAUGAAUAGCCUUGAUGGAGAGAGUCCUAAAGAAGCUACUGGUAGAUAUAUUCCUCAACUAUCAAAUCCAACUGCAUAUUCUAGCCUAACAUUUGACAUUGCUGAGGGCACAGGCAUUUCAGCACUGGUAAUGCAAAGGUCUAGCAGCAUCAAAUGGCCUGCUGUGCAAAGGAGGGCUUACUCUGCUACAAGUAUAAUUUGUUCUGACCCUUCAUAUUCUAGGGAUAAUUUUAGUGGCAUGAAAUGCAACACCGGUAGGGAAAGUUCUUCAGCUUCUUCCUCCAUUGAUUUGGGUUCAUCUGCACAAACAGUGGCAUCUAGGAAAACAGACAUCUGUGUUCUACGCCAGUCAAGCAGAAGGAUGGAUGAGGUGGACACUUUGAAAAUCAAUUAUAGUAUGAAUGCUGAAAGCAACGAUUCACAAUCAGAAGCCUCAGUUAGUGUCACAGCGACAUCAGCUAACCUUCACAGAAAAUAUGAAAAAAUUCUUUGUAGAAUUAUGAAGUCUGCUUAUAAUGAGGAUAUUCAAGAAGCGUCUCUGGAUACUGCAAACCAUGUCAACACCUAUGAAGAUACUAAUUUAAGCCAUGCGGAAAAUGCAUCCAUUGAAAAGGCUUUUAUAGGUCAAGAUACCUCCUGCGCACCAAUAUUGGAUCCAGAAUUUUGUUUUCAAUUGCAUGAUGCAACAAUCCAAGAUAAUUUAAAUGAUGACAACAGCACCUUAUCCAGAAAAACUAAUGAAGUAGUAUUCCAGAAUGAUAGAGUGGGAAUCCUGGAUUUAGAAUUAGAGGUGCCAAUUACUACUCCGGAUUGCUCUUCCAUUGAGGAUAAUCACAUGCUAAAUAAUAUCGGAUGUCAAGAUGACAUCUUGGAUGCUGCAAGUAACAGCUCUUCUAAUUUACUUUUGGAGCAGCAAAUUGAAUAUUGUUUUCAGGAUGCACAAAAUGAGCAGGCACAUGGCGAAACACCUACUUACAUGGAUGGUCUCCAAGGUGAUUUUUCUUUGGCAAUAUCUGACAAGGACAUGUUGGUUUCUGUAUCAGAAUCUAACUGUGCCGAACAUCCUCAUUGCAAACCACACGCAAAAGUUGAAGCUCCGAGGAGAAGUAUGCAAAGAACCUUUACUUUGGAAGAAGCAACCGACACUGUGCUCUUCUGCAGUUCUAUUGUUCAUGAUCUGGCCUAUAAAGCUGCAGCCAUUGGAAUGGAAAAGGAGAUGGCUGCAUCCGACGCUUCUCGCCCAACAGUGACACGUUUAGCAAAAUCUAUUUCCUAUCAGAUGGAUUUUCAAAAUACAUCCAAUAAAUGUGUUAAAAAUUCACGGAAAGUCAAAAGGAAAAGGCUGGAAAUUGAUACCAAGAAGCCACCCAUGGACUUGGGAAAUGAUGGCAACUAUCCGGAGCUUGUAUCUUCCAGUGCUGAAGAUUUACAAAUGAUCGACAGCAUGAAGCCCCCAAAGCUGGAAUCCAAGUGCAACUGCACUGUGAUGUAGGGAGGUCCCUUGGAAUCCAAUUGCAAUGUUGUGACAACUGCAACAUUUGGUAAGCUUGUUAGCAGCCAAGAUCUGAGGGAUCUGUCAUCCGUGACAUGUCAUGAUAAGCUUUAGCCUACCUUAAGCGCCUCCUGGAAGUUCAUCAGUGGUUAAUAAAGGUCGACAGCAUCAAUGUAAAAGAGCAAAAUUAUCACUUCCAAGAUUCUGAACAGAGAUCCAGUUGGUGAAUUGAUGACACAACAGAAUACUUCAUGCACUCAUGGCCUCUUUAGUUCAAUGCAUUUGUGGACAUACUUGAUCACUAGAUUUCUGCAUCUGAACAUGCAGGAAUGAGGAUGCAGACUUGCUUGUUGAGUAUUAGGAUUCUCUGAUGCUAUAUGUGCAUGUGUGUUGACAGGAUAUGCUUAAAAGAAGAGGACUGUAGCAAGACAUUGCUCAUGAAACUACUGAACCAUAUGAACAUUGUGUUUGGAAACCAUAUUAUUGUCAUGUUUGAGUGGCAUUA